GAUGAACGCUAGCGGCAGGCUUAACACAUGCAAGUCGAGGGGUAUAGGUUUUCGGACCUAGAGACCGGCGCACGGGUGCGUAACGCGUAUGCAAUCUACCUUUCACAGAGGGAUAGCCCAGAGAAAUUUGGAUUAAUACCUCAUAGUAUAGCAGUUUCGCAUGAAACCACCAUUAAAGUAUCAACGGUGAAAGAUGAGCAUGCGUCCCAUUAGCUAGAUGGUAAGGUAACGGCUUACCAUGGCUACGAUGGGUAGGGGUCCUGAGAGGGAGGUCCCCCACACUGGUACUGAGACACGGACCAGACUCCUACGGGAGGCAGCAGUGAGGAAUAUUGGUCAAUGGACGCAAGUCUGAACCAGCCAUGCCGCGUGCAGGAUGACGGUCCUAUGGAUUGUAAACUGCUUUUGUACGAGAAGAAACAACAUUACGUGUAAUGUCUUGACGGUAUCGUAAGAAUAAGGAUCGGCUAACUCCGUGCCAGCAGCCGCGGUAAAAC
rnacentral:rRNA from 1 species